GGCUCCCGGCCCUUUGCUGGUCGCUGCCAGCCCGGCGCGUUGCUUGGCGGCCCUCUGAGCGGCAGCAGUGGGCGAAAUGAGGCAGAAGCUACAGAGUGAGGUCAAAACCAGAGUUUUGAAGAAGUUUUAGAUUCAUGAGUUCAGGUCAGCCUGAAAUGAAUCCCUUAGUUCCAAGUCUGAAUGUUCGCCAAAGGCCGGCCGGCAGGCAAUAGGCUGCAGCAGCUCCUGCCUGCGUCUGUUUUCAGCUGCAGUCUUUGCAAGUAAGAGAAGGUGCUGCAGGACUUCACCGGUGCCCUGACCAAGCCAUCUCUAUCCAGCCACAGCCUUGUUCUUCUUACAUCCUCUGUACCUUCUUGUGCUGCAGCUUUUUGCUUAUGCAGAUACUGUUCGCAGUGGCUCAAAAUAAGACAUGUCCAAAAUUUAAAGCUUUUUUGUUUUAUCUGCAGAACAAUAAGUUGAGCACUCUCACUAUUUGAACAUCUCGGUUCAACCACCUGGCAACCAACCGGGCUCCCAGCACACAACGCCUCAGGGUUGUCUGGAACCCCAGCGGGUGUCUAGCUGCCAGUCCAUUGUCCUGCUGAGGUAUUGGAGAGGUCCUUGGAGGUGUCUUGAUGGAACAGGAGGCAAGGGGAGGUGACUCAGUUUCUCCCUGAAUCAUUAACAGAAACUGCUGUUGUGAACAUUAAACACUUCCAUAUCAUCUAACAUGAGUGCUACGAGGUUUAAAAAAAAAAAAAGGCGUUUCUUGCUGGAUUUUAGCAGUUUGACUCAUUUCACCUUAAUGAUAGAAACUCAA